CCUACGGGAGGCUGCAGUGGGGAAUAUUGGGCAAUGGGCGCAAGCCUGACCCAGCAACGCCGCGUGAAGGAAGAAGGCUUUCGGGUUGUAAACUUCUUUUGUCAGGGACGAAGCAAGUGACGGUACCUGACGAUUAAGCCACGGCUAACUUCGUGACAGCCGCCGCGGUAAUACGUAGGUGGCAAGCGUUAUCCGGAUUUACUGGGUGUAAAGGGCGUGUAGGCGGGAGUGCAAGUCAGAUGUGAAAACGACGGGCUCAACCUGUGGCCUGCAUUUGAAACUGUAGUUCUUGAGUACUGGAGAGGCAGACGGAAGUCCUGGUGUAGCGGUGAAAUGCGUAGAUAUUAGGAGGAACACCGGUGGCGAAGGCGGUCUGCUGGACAGCAACUGACGCUGAGGCGCGAAAGCGUGGGGAGCAAACAGGAUUAGAUACCCGAGUAGUC
rnacentral:rRNA from 1 species